UGGGGAAUUUGGACGAAUUGGGCGAAAGCCUGAUCCAGCAAUGCCGCGUGUGUGAAGAAGGCCUUCGGGUUGUAAAGCACUUUUGUCCGGAAAGAAAUCCUUGGCUCUAAUACAGUCGGGGGAUGACGGUACCGGAAGAAUAAGCACCGGCUAACUACGUGCCAGCAGCCGCGGUAAUACGUAGGGUGCAAGCGUUAAUCGGAAUUACUGGGCGUAAAGCGUGCGCAGGCGGUUUGCUAAGACCGAUGUGAAAUCCCCGGGCUCAACCUGGGAACUGCAUUGGUGACUGGCAGGCUAGAGUAUGGCAGAGGGGGGUAGAAUUCCACGUGUAGCAGUGAAAUGCGUAGAGAUGUGGAGGAAUACCGAUGGCGAAGGCAGCCCCCUGGGCAAUACUGACGCUCAUGCACG
rnacentral:rRNA from 1 species